AUUGAACGCUGGCGGCAUGCUUUACACAUGCAAGUCGAACGGCAGCGGGGACUUCGGUCCGCCGGCGAGUGGCGAACGGGUGAGUAAUGCAUCGGAACGUGCCUAUCAGUGGGGGAUAACGCUUCGAAAGGAGUGCUAAUACCGCAUAUUCUCUGAGGAGGAAAGCAGGGGACCUUCGGGCCUUGCGCUGAUAGAGCGGCCGAUGUCGGAUUAGCUAGUUGGUGAGGUAAAGGCUCACCAAGGCGACGAUCCGUAGCGGGUCUGAGAGGAUGAGCCCGCGCACUCGGACUGAGACGCGGCCCAGAAUCCUGCGGGCGGCGGCAGUGGGGCAUUUUGGACAAUGUAGGAAAGCCUGAUCCAGCCCGGCCGCGUGAGUGAAGAGGGCCUUAGGGUUGUAAAGCUCGUUUGUCCGGGAGGAAAUCCUGGCCUCUCAUACACGUCGGGGAUGACAGGACUGGAAGAAUAAGCACCGGAUAACUACGUGCCAGCCGCCGCCGUAAUAC
rnacentral:rRNA from 1 species